AUGGGGCCCCCAGGGCUUCCUUACCUGCAAGCCCACUCUCACCCUUUGCUCCUCUUUCUCCAGGAGUACCUCUGUCCCCCUUCAGUCCUGGGGGGCCCCUGGCACCUGAAGGCCCCUGUGGACCUAUGGCUCCAGCAGGCCCUGGAUAAGAGAAGUAGAAAUGGGAGAAGGAACAGGCUUGCAGAACUGGAGGCAGAUCCAAACCUAGACCCACCUGACUUUGCAUACAAUGCACCUGCCCCUGCCCCAAGGCCACGGUAUUUAUGGCAGGUAAGUCUGUCAGCUUAUACCCUGGACCAUGGACUCCCUCCCCUCCCCCUUCCUGGAACCAAAGGUUUAUGUCAGAAAUGACACCUGACACUUAACACCAGAGAGAUAGAAAUCAAAAGCACAAUGAGCUGUCACCUCACACCUCUCAGAAUGGCUAUUAUCAGACAGCAAAUAGGAAGUACUGGAGAAGUAGAGAAAAGGAAAGCUUUGUGCAGUAGGGAUGCAAACUGGAACAGCCACUAUGGAGAUAGUAUGGAAAACUCGAGCUACCGUAUAAUCCAUCAAUUCCACUUCUGAGCAUUCAACUAAAGAAAAUGGAAACACUAACCUGAAAAGAUAUAUGCACCCCCAAGUUAAUUACAGCGUCAUUCAUGGUGGCCCAGACAUGGAUGCAGCCUAGAGCCCAAGUAUCUGUGGAUGGAUGAACGGGUGUAGAAAAUGCAGGGCGCACAUACAAUGGAACAUCAUUCAGGCAUAAAGGGAAUGAAAUCCUGCUAUUUGCAGCAACACUGGUGAACCCUGAAGGCACUGUGCUUAGUGGAAUAAGUCACAGAGAAGGUGGCACUAUACGAUCUCACUCAUAUGUGAAAUAUAAGAAAACAAAUGAAGAAAAACGACAUACUCACAGAUACAGAGAACAGAUUUGUGGUUGCUAGAGGUGGGGUUGAGAAGUGGGCAGAAUGGAUAGAAAUCUUCAAAAGUUACAAGUGUCCAGUUAAAAAACAGUUGAUUCCCAGGAAUACAAUGUACAGUGAAGUUACUAUAGUUAGUAAUCCUGGGUUGCAUGCUUGAACAUUGCUGAGCAAGCAGAUCUUAAAAGUUCUCAUCACACACAAAUCGUAACUAUGUGUGUUGAUGACUUAUUGUGACAAUCAUUUCACAAUAUAUGCAAAUAUGAAUUAUUAUGAUGUACGUAUGAUUCUAAUAUAGAUCAAUUCUAAUAUAAAGAAGAGAAAAAACUAACAUGCUUUUAGAAUUAUGGAAGAUAGAUGACAUUAUUGUGCAUUAUUUAAGUGAUAAAAGUAAGUUAUAAACACUAUUUAAUAUGAUUUGGUUUCUUCAACAUGUCCACGCCUGUGUCAGGCAUGUGCACAUGUAACACACAUUGAAAAAGCCACAAGAAGAGCACACACACGUGUUAACAGUUGUUCUUUCUAAGGGGCACAAUUCAGGCAAUUUUAAUUUUCUUCUUUUUGUAUUUAGUGACCACAUACUAAUUUGCUUUGGAAAAAUGACCAAACAUUUUAAAAAAUCACAUUACCUUAAGAAGGCUGCCUAAGUCUGAAAUUAUAAGAGAUUUGCAUUCAAAGACUAAAGGGAGAAAUGCCUGUUGAUUCAAGAAUUAUACACUCAAUUCUGUGAGUUUGGUUAUACUUGUUUUCAUUGAGAUAAAAUUCACAUAAUAUAAAAAUAACCUUUUUUUUUUUUUUACUGUGAUGUGUAGCUUACAGGAUCUAGGUACCCCAAUCAGGGAUUGAACCUGAGGCCUGACAGUGAGAACACCAAAUCUUAACCACUGGACCUCCAGGAAUUACCUGUAAUUAAUCAUUUAAAGUAUACAAUUCAGUGGCAUUUAGAACAUUGACAUAAUUGUACAACUACCGCUACUCUUUAGUUCAAGACUAUUUCAUUAAUCCCAAAGUAAACCUCAUACCCAUUUAUCAUUCCAUCCCUGCUUCCUCCCAGGCCCUGGCUACCUCUAGGCAGCUGCCUGUCUCUGUUACCUAUUCUGGAUAUUUUAUAUAAAUACAUACAAUGUAUGACCCUUUGUGUCUGCCUUUUUAAACUAGGAGUGACAUUCUUGAGGCUCAUCCAAUUUGCAGCACAUCUCAGUACUUCAUUCCUCUCUAUGGCUGAGAAAUGUUCUAUAGUAUGAGUACAAUACAUUUUCUUUAUUCAUUCACCAUGGAUAAAUCUUGAUAGACACUUGGGUUGUUUCCAUCUUUUGACUGUUGUGAGCAAAGCAUUCACGUGCAAAAAGACAACAAAAGAAAUCUGUCAGUUACUACUAACUUGUUCAAUCACUUAUUUGUUCAUUUCCUCAUUUCAUCUCUCUGUGCACUGAGAAUCUCUCUGUGGAACAUGGCUUUCUGCCUAGCACUGAGCAGGAAGUAAAUGUCAGCACCAGGUCUUGGUCUGCAAGGAAGUUGUCACUGAGUUUUAAACUGUGAGGUACAGGUAAUAAGUGAAGAAAACAGCUUAUGAGAUGUCCCUCAUCCCAUCCCAGCACCCACAACCCUUGGACACACAUGUACUCAUAAGAAACAGGACUUCAUUGCUGAAGAGGAUUCAGAGACCUGGAGAGGAGAGAUGACAUUUCAGAUCUGGAAACCAUUCCCCCAGGGUAAGAAGGGCCAGGCUUGCCUGGG
ensembl:lincRNA